rnacentral:lncRNA from 1 species
UUGGACCUGUCACGAAUGCUUAAUAUAGAGCUUUCUCCAAGUCAAGGCUACCUCCAAGUCAACUGAGCAUCUCCUGAUUAAACGCCGGGGCCUUCAUCGAUGGAACCAAUAGAUGUGCUUGGCUGUCUCGAUGGAGGCCUUGUUUUCUAUAGGAUCAUUGGAAAACAAGGCAUCGACUAUGAUCUGUGCGUUCCCAAUGAGAAAAAUGUAUGCAAGACGUCAAUUUUUUGGCUUUCCGAGACAACAAUUAGCUGAGCCUUUGAAUGCAUCGAACCACCCUGUGUGCAGGCGAGUUCUCGUCACGGACUUCCAAGGAAGGUCCUGGAGGGCGUCAU